AGUGGCAGACGGGUGAGUAACGCGUGGGAACCUUCCCUUUGGUACGGAAUAACUUCGGGAAACCGAAGCUAAUACCGUAUAAGUCCUUCGGGAGAAAGAUUUAUCGCCAAAGGAUGGGCCCGCGUUGGAUUAGCUAGUUGGUAGGGUAAAGGCCUACCAAGGCUACGAUCCAUAGCUGGUCUGAGAGGAUGAUCAGCCACACUGGGACUGAGACACGGCCCAGACUCCUACGGGAGGCAGCAGUGGGGAAUAUUGGACAAUGGGGGCAACCCUGAUCCAGCCAUGCCGCGUGAGUGAAGAAGGCCUUUGGGUUGUAAAGCUCUUUUGGCGGGGACGAUAAUGACGGUACCCGCAGAGUAAGCCCCGGCUAACUUCGUGCCAGCAGCCGCGGUAAUACGAAGGGGGCUAGCGUUGUUCGGAAUCACUGGGCGUAAAGCGCACGCAGGCGGAUUGAUAAGUCAGGGGUGAAAUCCCGGAGCUCAACUUCGGAAUUGCCUUUGA
rnacentral:rRNA from 1 species